AUGGCGUCGGCGGCGCCCGCCGCCGCACCCGGGCGGCCCCACCCGACCUACACCAACAUGAUUACUUACGCGCUCGCCCAGCUGGGAGGCGCCUCCGCCCGCUCCGCCAUCGCCGGAUUCAUCGCCGCACGCUUCACCGGGCUCCCCGUCAGCCACGACGCGCUCCUCUCCGCCCACCUCCGCCGCCUCGUCGCCGAGGGUGUCCUCUGCACCUCCGGAUUCUCCUACUUGUUCUCUUCCCACCACCAGCCACCCGAGAGUAACAGUCCCGAUCUCGAUUCGGAUGAUCAAUCUGGUUCUGGGUUCCACUUCCACCUCCACAGUAGCAGUGACGACGACGACGACGACGAUGAUGCCUACACUCCUCUGCUGCAUCUGCAUCUGCCUCUGCCUCUGCCUGUGCCUGUGCCUGUGCUGGGAGAGAAGCGGGGCCGGGGGCGACCGCGGAAUAGUUCCCCGGCGAAUGCUGCCGGCCGUCCUCGCAAGGCUGCUGCUGCAACGCCUGGAGAACCCUGUCCUGCUCCUGCAAAGGGAGAGCCAACAGAGCAUUCUGGUGCUGGUUUAGGGUCUGUGCUGCUGUCUGGGAAACCAAAGCGAGGCCGUGGGAGACCAAGGAAGCUACAGCGAGUUGGGCCGUCCCCCUCAACUGGUGGUGGUGGUGGUGGUGGUCGUAUCAAGAGAGGGCCUGGGAGGCCGACAAAGGAGGACCAACAAUCACAAGCAGCAGCAGCAAAGCAUCCUCCAACUCCAACUGCGUCAUCAACCAGUGGCAUCGCCAAGAUCAAGAGAGGGCCUGGGAGGCCAAGAAAGGAGGAGCAACAAUCACAGGCAGCAGCAGCAGCAGCACAGCAUCCUCCAACUCCAACUGCGUCGUCAACCGGUGGCAUCGCCAAGAUCAAGAGAGGGCCUGGGAGGCCAAGAAAGGAGGAGCAACAAUCACAGGCAGCAGCAGCAGCAGCAGCAGCACAGCAUCCUCCAACUCCAACUGCGUCGUCAACCGGUGGCAUCGCCAAGAUCAAGAGAGGGCCUGGGAGGCCAAGAAAGGAGGAGCAACAAUCACAAGCAGCAGCAGCACAGCAUCCUCCAACUCCAACUGCGUCGUCAACUGGUGGCAUCAUCAAGAUCAAGAGAGGGCGUGGGAGGCCGAGAAAGGAGGAGGAGCAACAAUCACAGGAAGCAACAAUGCCUCUUCCAACUCCACCGGCAUCAAGGGGGUUCAAGGUAGGAUGUGGGAGACCAAUGCUAGCUCCUACAUCUCAUCUGGAGACACACGGAGGGCCUCCCAGGAAUCGGAGGCCAAUAAUAAUAGAGAAGCUGCCACCAGCAGCAAGGUGGUCUGUUGAUGCUAUGCCGUCAGAAAUCAAGAGGCCAAGAAUCUACAGACCAUCAGCAGAAACUGGAGAUGCAACACGUGCUCCUGAAACUGUAGAUGCUGCGUCGUCCGGAAUCAAGAUAGAGGGCGUGCAGCCACAAGUGGACAAGCCAACGGCACCAAUGCCUGCUGAAGCUGGGGAUGCUCGGUCUGCAGGGAUCAAGAGAGGGCGUGGGAGGCCAAGAAAAGACAAGCCAGCAGCAGCAGCAGCAGCAAUGUUGGCUCAAACUGAAGCUGUAGAUGCUGUGUCAACUGGGAUGAAGGGGGCGCUUGAGAAUCCAAUAUCAGGUUAUGUCGUGUCAACUGGAACCAAGGGAGCACUUGAGAAGCCAUCAUCGGCAGGUGAUAUUGUGUCGGUGGUGAUGAAGAGAGGGCGUGGGAGGCCAAGGAAAGAGCAACUGACCUUUGAUUGA
rnacentral:rRNA from 1 species